UCAGCGCCGGCCCCGCGCUCCCGCCCAGCGCGCCCGGGGCGGGGCAGCGGCUCCGCCGGCCCAGCACGGCCCGGCACGGCCCGGCAGGGCUCGGCACGGCCCAACACGGCCCGGAAGGGCCCGGCAGGGCUCGGCACGGCCCAGCACGGCCCGGAACUGCCCGGCACGGCCCGGCAGGGCUCGGCACGGCCGAGGGUGGGGGCCGGGGCUGAGCGGCCGCCUUGCCGGAGGAGAAGGCGGCGGGCGGUGAUGUCAGUCCUAAUGAACACCAUCACCUUUGGAGACUGAAGAAACCAAUGGUCUCUGUCAAGACUCCUGCUUGGACUCACACUUCUUAAUGAGAAAGUGAAUGUUUAGGAAAUUCCACCAGAUCACAUGCCAGAAAUAAAAAUAGUAAAAAUAAA